rnacentral:rRNA from 1 species
UACGAGGGGGGCGAGCGUUGUUCGGAAUUACUGGGCGUAAAGGGCGCGCAGGCGGCCUUAGAAGUCAGAUGUGAAAGCCCCGGGCUCAACCUGGGAAUGGCAUUUGAUACUCUGAGGCUGGAGUACGGGAGAGGAGAGUGGAAUUCCCAGUGUAGAGGUGAAAUUCGUAGAUAUUGGGAAGAACACCGGUGGCGAAGGCGGCUCUCUGGACCGUAACUGACGCUGAGGCGCGAAAGCGUGGGGAGCAAACAGG